rnacentral:rRNA from 1 species
UACGAGGGGAGCAAGCGUUGUUCGGAUUUACUGGGCGUAAAGGGCGCGUAGGCGGCGUGACUAGUCACUUGUGAAAUCUCCGGGCUUAACUCGGAACGGUCAAGUGAUACUGUCGUGCUAGAGUACAGAAGGGGCAACUGGAAUUCUCGGUGUAGCGGUGAAAUGCGUAGAUAUCGGAAGGAACACCGGUGGCGAAAGCGGCGCGCUGGACCUCUUCUGACGCUGAGGCGCGAAAGCCAGGUGAGCAAACGGG